rnacentral:lncRNA from 1 species
GGGGCCCCAUGGCCAGUGGAGUUUUUUAUUGGGAAGGCAGUGCCAGGGCUGUGCUCUCCCUGUGCUCUGAGCCAGGCAUUUGCUCUCUGUGUAGCUCUGCACUUAUUUCCAUGGUGGAUGAGCAUGAAGAGGUGGGAAAAGAACUUUUAAGGACAGCUGCUGUGGUGGUGAUGGGGAGUGGGAGGAUUUCCUGCUUUCCUUUAUGCAGAUUAUAUGUAGUGGGCAGUGGAGCACCUUCCUGCAGUGCUCAGUGCCUGAGGUGUGUGAGGAGCUCCUGCCUGUUUCCUCCUGGGGUUCAUCCUGAGCUGUCACCAACAGUUCUGGCUUUUGUGGGAGCAGUUACCUGGUGGAGAAGGUUGCAAGGCAGGACUCUGAAGUGCUUCCCUGCUGAGGACCAGAGCAUUUCCACACCACGUGGGGCUGGGAAGGCUAGCAGGGGAAUACUGGAAGAUCAGUGUUCCCCUGACCCAGACAGGCUGCUUUUGCAUACACCUCCACCUCUUCACAUAACAGGAGCAACUGGCUCAGCAGGAAGAGACAGAGACUGUUCCUGGCUGGAACAGAGGAGGGGAUCCUGUCGCACCCGCCAAAGUCAGGCAGGGGGCACUGAUAGACUGUGUGAGAGGAGCUAAAUCACCCGAGCAGCCCCACUGGUGCACAGAACAUUCACUGAUAUUCCCUGGUUUAUGCCAUUCUUAGCUCAGUUCUGAAGAGAUCCCAGCCUGGAAAUUAAUUGUAUGGUGGAGAGGAAAAACAGUGGCAUUACUCAUCUGAGGAGUGGAACCUUUUGUUUGAAAACUCCAUCUGAAGAAUGGAAACGUCACAGAUAAGGAACCUGUCAUUCUUUUUUGAGUGCAAGCACUCCUUCACUGUAUAUUGCUGCUUGUCAUCCCACCGACAGCUCCAGGGAAGUCAUAAAACAGAGGGUCAAAGCUCAGAUGUCUGUGAGAUGGGUCUGGCAGUGUCUGUUCACUAUUGCUAUCCACACCUCAGGGUGGAAUUACAGCCCUAAUUCAUAUACAUGGGGUGAGAGGCCAGGGCUCUGCAUUUAACUCUGCCCCUAUUGGGGUCACCCCUGCUCUGCUGAGUGCUGAUAAACGCAGUGCGAGAAGGAUUCACACAGGGUCUCAGGUGGGGACAGAGCACAGGGGAAGAACCUUUCUGGGAGCCAGGGCUGUGCCACAUGCCAGGUCCUGUCCUUGCCCUCUGCUCACUGCUGGACACACACUGUAGUGUUGGAUGGUGUCCAGAGAAUAGAAAAAAGCUGGGAAAGGGGCUGGAGCACCAGGAGCAGCUGAGGGAGCUGGGAAAGGGGCUCAGCCUGGAGAAAAGGAGGCUCAAGGGGCAGCCUUCUGGCUCUGCACAACUCCCUGACAGGAGGGGACAGCCAGGUGGGGGAACAAGGGACAAAACCAGAAGAAAUGGCUUCAGGCUGUGCCAGGGGAGGUUUAGAUUGGAUACUGUGGAAAUUUAUUAAUAAAAAGGAUUGUCAGGCAUUGCA